AACGCGAAGAACCUUACCAAGGCUUGACAUAUAGCGAAAAGUGGCAGAGAUGUCAUGUCCGCAAGGGCGCUAUACAGGUGGUGCAUGGUUGUCGUCAGCUCGUGUCGUGAGAUGUUGGGUUAAGUCCCGCAACGAGCGCAACCCUCGUUCUGUGUUACCAGCAUUAAGUUGGGGACUCACAGGAGACUGCCGGGGUUAACUCGGAGGAAGGUGGGGAUGACGUCAAAUCAUCAUGCCCCUUAUGUCUUGGGCUGCACGCAUGCUACAAUGGCCGGUACAAAGUGCUGCGAAAUCGUAAGAUUUAGCGAAUCACAUAAAGCCGGUCUCAGUUCGGAUUGAGGUCUGCAACUCGACCUCAUGAAGUUGGAGUUGCUAGUAAUCGUAGAUCAGCAACGCUACGGUGAAUACGUUCCCGGGUCUUGUACACACCG
rnacentral:rRNA from 1 species